rnacentral:rRNA from 1 species
GGUCGGACAUCAGGAGGUUAGUGCAAUGGCAUAAGCCAGCUUGACUGCGAGCGUGACGGCGCGAGCAGGUGCGAAAGCAGGUCAUAGUGAUCCGGUGGUUCUGAAUGGAAGGGCCAUCGCUCAACGGAUAAAAGGUACUCCGGGGAUAACAGGCUGAUACCGCCCAAGAGUUCAUAUCGACGGCGGUGUUUGGCACCUCGAUGUCGGCUCAUCACAUCCUGGGGCUGAAGUAGGUCCCAAGGGUAUGGCUGUUCGCCAUUUAAAGUGGUACGCGAGCUGGGUUUAGAACGUCGUGAGACAGUUCGGUCCCUAUCUGCCGUGGGCGCUGGAGAACUGAGGGGGGCUGCUCCUAGUACGAGAGGACCGGAGUGGACGCAUCACUGGUGUUCGGGUUGUCAUGCCAAUGGCACUGCCCGGUAGCUAAAUGCGGAAGAGAUAAGUGCUGAAAGCAUCUAAGCACGAAACUUGCCCCGAGAUGAGUUCUCCCUGAGACUUAGAGUCUCCUGAAGGAACGUUGAAGACGACGACGUUGAUAGGCCGGGUGUGUAAGCGCAGCGAUGCGUUGAGCUAACCGGUACUAAUGAACCGUGAGGCUUAACCUU